rnacentral:pre_miRNA from 1 species
GAUUUCAACUGAAAAAGUCAUCAAUAACAAAGUUGUAUAAAUUAUCAAGAUCUACAACUUUUAUUUUGGCCAUUUAUUCAUCCGACAAUGUGAUUUGUAAGAUUGUUCACAAAAUGUAUAUAUGUCUUAUAUAGUUUAUAAAAGUAUAAGAGAGAUGUACAUUUUGUGAACAAUCUUAUAAAUAACUUUGUUGGAUGAAGAAAUGACUAAAAUAGAAGUUAUAUAUAUUGAUGAGUUAUACAACUUUGUUGUUGAUGACUUUUUCUGCUGAAAUG